GUACGACUACUUCCUCUACGUCGUGUCAUCGCUUCCGCAGUCGGUCUGCGUUGGGAUCGUGCGGACCACCUUCGGCGGCAGCGCCGCCUCCUCAUUGCCGAGGAGGACGAGCGAGCCAUGGCAGAGUGGCGCCAGCGCCAUCCGGAGGACGUCGCCAAUGAGCGCGCCUACUGGGCGGAGAGGACGGCAAGGCGCCGCGGGGAGCGGACGGACCGGUGUCGGCGGAAGGCAUUGGUGAUAUCGCAGUGCGAUAUGGUUGAAGCAGGUGGGAGGUGGAUCUUCACGUCAGACGAUGAACGUUGGGACGACAUAUGGAUCGAUACCUCGGACAACACAACGGAGGAUCAGGAUGAUGAUGAGGACUCGGAGUAGUUCUAGCUGCACCAUAGUUUAUCUAGUUGCACCGUAGUUUAAUUUUAUGUAGUUGCACUGUAGUUCUGUUUUAUCUAUCUAUGCUAUGAACUUUGUAUCGUUUUUUUA